AUGAGGUCACACUCUCUGCUUAUCUGCGUGCUGGUUUUCUGUAUGAAGGGUACCAAUGGGGACAUUGUGAUGACGCAGACUCCAGAAUCCCUGGCGGUGUCUCCAGGAGACAGAGUCGCCAUCAACUGCAAAGCGAGUUCCAGUGUUAGCAGCUACGUGGCCUGGUACCAACAGAAAUCAGGACAAGCUCCUAAGCUCAUAUUCUAUGGUUCUUCCUCUCGUCCCUCCGGGAUCCCAGACCGGUUCAGCGGCAGUGGGUCUGGCACUGACUUCACUUUGACAAUCACCAGUUUUCAAGCUGAUGAUGCUGGCAGUUAUUACUGUCAACAGUAUAAUGAGCUUCCUCUCACACAGUGA